GUGUGGCCCAUCGUGGCGUAUCUCCCCCACACUGUGUGGGGGGAGAUACGCCACGAGAUAUGGUUUAACCAGUAGUAGUACUGUAGUGGUCUGGAAUAUGGAUUACCUACAGUUCUUGCGUUCAGUUUUUUCCUAUACUAGAUAUAAUCGAAAUACAUGCAGCACUUGGCAACUACAACAAACAUUUUAGUUGGCCUCAAUUUCUUCGUAUCUUGUGUAAAACAUUCAUGGAGUGUUACCUAACCAAUUCGUCGGCGAAAACGCGUUUGUUUUAGGGAAUAUUACUAACCAAUUAUAAAGACGUUUAUAAUGUGUACACGUGUCUCAAGUAAAGUACUGUAUACUUGACUGAUUAAAACAGCCAUGACUUGUGACGCAGACACAAUACUGUAUACAGCGAUAAACUUAGCCUAACUUACCUAAGGUAAAGUAAGGUCAAUGCUGUAUCAUGGUGACUUAACAUUACCACAGCAAUGCUGUGGUUGCACGUUGAUUUUAAGGACUUUAAAUUGAAGAAUGAUUCCUUCUUCAACCUGAUGAUGGCCACCUGUAUCAGCAGCAGACACGAGCACUGUUGGACAAUCAGCAUGACCAUCUUUCCUGAGAAUGAACUGGAGAUGUGAGACGUUCCCGCCCUCCAUGCGUCUUGAUGCUACCCUUAGAGGCUGUUAAGUAGGUCGGGUCAUUGGUAGUGGUGGACGGCGACAGGAAACAUUUAGCUUUCUCAUCUCGUGUUUGUUUCAACCCAUGGUGACGACACAGCCUAAACCCAUGAAGAGUGACAAUAAUGGUCAAGAACAUGAAAACAAUAGUUGUGUGACUUCUGAUGACUUUUAAUCAGCUAUGAGUCUUGAUAGUAAAACUGGUUACCUGUUGAAUAAAAAGUUUAAUUGCUAAUGAAUAUUUUCCCUUUUUACAAUAUUAUCUUGAAUUGGUAAUGAAACAAGUUCUUC